rnacentral:lncRNA from 1 species
AUGGUAUUUUUGUGAUAGUGAGUGAGUUCUCAGGUGAUCUGAUGGUUUUAUAAGUGUCUGGCAUUUCCCUCUUGCACUCUCACUCUGUUCUGCCACCCAGUGAGGAAGAUGCCUGCUUCUCCUCUGCCUUCUGCCAAGAUGGCAAGUUUCCUGAGGCCUCCCCAGCAAGAUGGAUCUGCACUUCAUCACCAAAGCAACAAGAUGUGGAGCAUGAGCAGUUCAACCUUUGAAGAUAACUCAGACUAAUUUGGCCAGCCUCUCCGUCUGAGGGUCUGAGAUCAUAAGAAGAAAAAAAAGGCUGUAUGAAGAC